GACGAACGCUGGCGGCGUGCCUAAUACAUGCAAGUCGAACGCAGUGGGGACGGGUGAGUCACACGUGGGUAACCUCCCCAUCAGAGGGGAUAACACUUGGAAACAGGUGCUAAAACGAUACUGAUGCAUGGAACCGCGGUGCAUUAGCUAGUUGGUGAGGUAACGGCUCACCAAGGCCACGAUGCAUAGCCGACUUAAGAGGGUGGUCAGCCAGACUGGGACUGUGACAAGGCCCAGACUCCUACGGGAGGCAGCAGGAGAAAAACUUCGGCAAUGUACGAAAGGCUGACUGAGCAACGACGCGAGAGUGAAGAGGGUUGUCGGAUCGGAAAACUCUGUUGUUAGAGAAGCGGAAUCUAACCAGAAAGCCACGGCUAACUACGUGCCAGCCGCCGCAGUAAUUC
rnacentral:rRNA from 1 species